GCUUUCGUGGUGUAAUAGUCAGCACACUCGCUACGUAUUCCAGAGGACCGAGGUUCGAGUCCCGGCGAGGGCA
rnacentral:tRNA from 1 species